CAGCUCCCUGUGAAAUCCAAACGGUGUAAAAAAUCAGCGGCAUUUAUGACCUGUUCGGUACAGCACUGCCUGCUCACGAACACAUUAAUAGUCCUUAAAUACAGUCAUCUAUUGUGAACUGGGCACUGGUGAUUCAGGAACAAAGAAGAGGCCGUCAGCUUCAGUCUUUGUGUGUACAUGAGCAUGCGUGAGUGUGUGUGUGUGUGUGUGUGUGUGUGUGUAAGUCAGAAGCAAACAUCUGAUGUUCUCUAAAAUUCUUCAUCUUCUUUUCUGAGAGAGUCUCUCAUUGAGCCCCAGACCCACCAUUUCAGGCAGACUGGCAGGUCAGCAAGUGUGUGAGAUCCUUCUGUCUCCAUCUCUCCAUGCUGAGCUUACAGGUGCAUGACCCAUGCCUGACUUUGCAUGUGGGUGCUGAGGAUCCAAUUUCAGGCACCCCCACAAAGUCCUGGCCAGGACAGGUCCUUUCUGGUAUGCCUGGGGCUCUUGCUAACAGAAGCCCCAUGUUGUGGCUGAGUGGAUAUGACUCACGCUUGCUCACUGUCUUCAAAGCCAGGUCUUCUUCCUCCUAAGCCUUUGGUGGGGAGACAGCAGCCUGGACUCACAAUAGACCUAGGAUCCAGACCCGCGGCCAGGCUGACCACAUAACGCUGAGCCAAUCGUCUACUUUCUCAGAGUUUCACUUUUCCCACGUGUAAAAUGGAAACCCAGUUCCCUCUUCAUGGUGUUACUGGGAAGUGUGCAGGAGAAGGGAGGGCCAAGGGGAGUGUUCUUAGUGGAGGAACUGGCAGAGUAGAACGCUACAGAACAUGCUGGCUGUGACAUCAAGACUUUCCGGGGGGCAGCCACCUUUCUGGGGAAGGCCCCCAUUCUUAACUGGCCUCUCUAGGAGGAAGGUAAACUAUGUUCCAGGGCAACUGUGCCAACAAUCAACCGGGUGACAGCCUUCACAGCACUGCCAUAGGAGAGCAAGAUACACAGACAACUCGCAGUGCCCUGGACAAGACGGGAAGGACCCUGGACUGGUGUAACAUGGCGUUCCCAGACGGCAUGUACCUUUAUUUCUCAGGAUCAAGGCAGAUAUCUCUGUAGGGUGAAAGACCAAAUCUUGCUUAGUCACUGGUCCUGCAAGCUUUUGCUAAGCACCUUCUCUAGGGUUGGGCAGUGAUCUAGGGAAUAAGGAAGACAAACCCAGUUCUAGGCUCUGAGUGGCCAUCUUACAAAGACUUCACUUGGUGGCUGGUCUGCAGGCCAGAUGCGAUGAAGCUCCGACCCUGGAUGGACGUAGGCUAGAAUCUUCCUGCCUAGACCCCCUCCUCUGAGAAGGCCAAGGUCCUGGGAAUGGAAAUGGGGGACUUCCUCUGGCUGGUCUCCGUGACCUUGGCUGAAGGGAAAAGGACGUGGCCUGCUCUUCUGCAAACCGCUCAAUGUCAGGUUUUGCCAAGGGGGCUUUCUCUUAUCUCCCUCUCUGCGUCCUCAGAAUGAUAUUCAGCUGGUUUCAAUGUGGGGAUUAAUCUAACCCAAGUGAACCACCUACCCCUCUGCAUGGAGAAUCCUCUCAGGUCUGUUGUUUAUCUGUCUUCCUCCUACCCCACCCUAAUCUUUGGAGCUUAAAGGGCUUAAAAUGCUUCUUAGGCCUGGAAUCAUUCUUAUAAGGCAACUAUUGAUGAGCUAAACAGGAACGAUUUCAAAAGUUAGUGUGAGAACUUUGCUCUCCAAUUCCACUGACACGCAGCGGACAGGAGAGGAAACUUGUCCUCUCCUUGUCCCCUUUCCUAACAUCCGCGGAUGCUUUCUUCCCAGGGAGAAGAGGGCCACUGUGAUCCUUACAUGUGCCAGCCCAUCCCUCUACCUACUCAUCCGAUCAAACUGUGACAUCCAACAAGACUGAUCACAGCAGCUUAGCCCAAGGGUUGGGUGCUAACUCAGCCUAGGGGAUGUGUCCUCCCCACUGUCCUCCCCACCGUCCUCCCCACCAUCCUCCCUAUUUGUGGCACAACCUCUGAUCAGAAGCAGGUCCUCCUCACUGCUCAGGAGCUACUUUUGCUGAUGUUGUUUCUUUUCCUGCUUACAACCCGAGUAGGGAAGUUUCUAGCUGAGAAAACAGGGCUCUGAGAGGGAAGAGCCUGCCCAAGAGCUGUCAGUCAAGAGGCACAGCACCAGGUCUCAAGGUUCUGACUUGACCGCCUUCCUGUGGCCCAUCAUAGUUGGGCUAUUUCAGCGGGGGAGAAGACCAUUGUGGGCAGUGAUGGAGGGCAACCAUGGGCAGAGUGUGAGCUUGCUGACGUACCAGGAGGAUCUGUGGUCAUUCCCAAAUGGAACCUAUGGCAGCCUCAUGUACUAGGAGACAGAAGGACCCUUGGACAGGGUGUCUCUGCUGAGACGAACUUGCAUGAGCAAUUUACACGAGUGCGUGAGGAACGAGAGUCACGCUAGCCAUGUUAGAGUCGAUGCUGCACACGGGAACAGGUGACCGCCACCUCUUCUUGCGGGAAGUGUAGGCUCACGACUCAGCCACCCUAUGCUUUCUUUCAUGCUGUGUCUUUGCCAGGCUAGAACUGACUGAGGAAAGGGACCCUGCAGCCUCCGUGGGGGGGGGGCAGUUUUAGAGGGAAGCUGAAGACACAAGUUCCAAGGGGACAAAGUGAGGCUGCAGGCAGCAGCUUUCCAAACACUCACUUGCUGGGGAAGCCGGAAGCCUCCUUUCCAGUGUCUGCCCAGUCUCACUUCUUCAUAAGGCCAGGCUUGGCAUGAAGCAGACAGGAGAGGUGCAGAAAUCAGGGCAGAGACCUGACUCCCCACUCAUGAGGAUUUUCCCCAGUUUAGGGGGCAGCACAGCCCCAGGCUGUCUAUCCUCUAAAUCAUCUACUCAGGGACCACAGAAUACACAGUGGUGUCCUGAGAAAAUAAUAAUGGGCAUGUCCUCCACCCCAGAAUCCCUACAGGGAGACUUUCCGUCCCCUAGACAGGGAUUAGGGCUGAUAAAUCAAACAUCAGGAUUCAGGAUACACACAUUGCACUGGGGGCUACACACCACACACACAUACACACAUCACACACACCACACACACACACACACCACCACACACAGACACACAUACACACCACACACACACAUGCACUCUACACACACACAUACACACAUACCACGCACACCAGACACACAUACACACCACACACACAUACACACCCAUACACACAUGCACACACAUACACACCACACACACAUACACACACACCACACACACGCAUAACACACAUACACACAUACCACACAAACAUAACACACCACACACACCACACACACACAUACACACAUGCACACUCAUAUGGCUUGUCAGGGUAAAGAAGAUCCACCAGCCUCUGCUUAGGCACCGACAGGUGUCAAUGGCAGGAAGGGGCCUGCAAUAGGUCCUUAGGCUAGAGAAGGGAAGGUUCACACUGGGAGUAUUUAUCCUGGGACUUGUUGUCUGAGAGAUGAGAUUGCUACUUUUAGGAACCGCCAUCACCUUCUUGAGUUUUGUCAAAUCUUGGGUCUUUCCCAGCUCCCCAAGGCACUUUCUGAGAGCUCUUCACCCAGCAGGACUGCUCUGCGCUUUUGGGGUUUCUUAGCAUUGUCCCCAACUUCUCCCACUUUGAACCUCCAGCAGCUUGCUUAUGGGUGACCAUGAAGAAGUCAGGACACUACUGAAUGUUCUAGAUGAGGAGCUAGGUCAAUCGUCCGCAGCUCAGAAUCCCCAGAAAGACAAAGACUGAGUCAUCCUUGUGUUUGACUACGGAUGCCCCAGUGGGUUCUUGCUUCCUGCCGGCCAUGAAUUCUCCACCUGGCCUCAGCUGGUCCCGACCCUCCCUGCCCUGCGCCAGCCAGCCUAGUCUCCCUACUCUGCACACACACACUCACUCGCUAGGUUUUCCCAGCCCUAGGUUUGCAACGUCCCUCGUGCUUCUUCAACCCCCAGAAUCCACACCGCUCAUUUCCUCUCAUGUUCAGGUGUGUUGUUGAGCUUCAGGUUGAAUCCAUCCACCCUGGAGGGAGCAGAGAGAAUCAUCUCCCUGGUGGUGUCUUCUGGGGUUAAGUUAUAUAAUGAGUGACCACUGGCCUGGCAGAGCCACUCUGUGGAGCUGCCUGUAAGUCGUGCAGGAGGCUUGAAGACACAGCCUCUCUGAGCAUUCGCCUAUGCCCGGGGUGGGCUUUUUGGUGACGCAGUUGCUCAUGCCAUUUGUCACUGCUCACCCCUGCUCCUGUCACCAGAUAAACUCAUUGGUUAGAUGGGAAAGCCAAAUUGAGAAUGAUAAGGAGGAGGGUGGAGUCUGUGGAGUCACCAGGAGACACAGAAGGAGCAAGACAUGCUGGAGGACAGGUAAAACCAUGAGCCAUGUGUCAAUACAUAGAUGAAUAGAAACGGGUUAACUUAAGUUAUGAGAGCUAGUUAAUAGGCCUGAGCUCAGUCGAGCAUUUAUAAUUGAUAUUAAAUCUCUUGUAGUUAUUUGGGAGUUAAAUGUCUCCAUGGUAGGGUCUAAGAGGCAUCGGGAGGUGGGUCAUGAAUCCUUGUAUUGUUUUUCCUGUUGUGUGAGGUGAGAAUGAAACAGUAACAAGAGUUAAUUUAGACAGGGCACACAUGGAGGAGAGGUGACACCAGUCCGUCUCAUGAGACUAAGGACUUGGCUUUGAACUGCUUAGUUCCAACUUCGGUGACAAAGUCAUGGGCUGGCUUCUCCCGCCUCCCCCUCAAGCUGCACACUUAGAGUGAGGCUAUGACCACAGAAAGCCAGCCAGGGUACACACAGGGUGAGGUGACCACCACAGGAAGCCAUCCCGUGUACACGGGAUGCCCGUGUACAUCCCAGGGCAGGGAAUGCUUCUUUGAUCAGUUUGAGUGAUAUGAGGCCAGGCUGGUCCUUGGGAGACUUAGGAUUGCACUGGGAGCAGGAAAAGUCAGAAAGAUUUGAGCAGGGUGGGAACACUAACGGCAAAGGGAUUCUAGAAGACCGGGGGUUAGGAGGAGCUGAGUUCCAGGCAGCGCUGAUCCCAGAGAGAUGAAAGCAGGCAGGAACAUUGGGCUCCUGAUCUUCAUUUACACUGCUCUUGACGCUCAAAACUCUUGUCCGUCCUCCAUGGUAUUUGAUUCUCACAACACAGUAGGGCAGACAUUCUUUCUCAGUGACCAGGAAAGGGAGGCCUGGGGAAUACAGAUGGACAUAAAGGAUGGUGAGGUGAGACAGGACCCGAUUCUAAGCCAGGUCCUCUGACUCUAAAUUCACUCUGAUUUUUCAAAGACCAGGAAUGUGAUGAAAAACACGUUUGAUACCAUUGUAGUAACAGCCACCAUUUGUUGCGGGCUCCGAUGUGCCAGGCGCUAUGCUAAGAGCCUUGAAGUCAUCCGUGUGUUUCACUGUCACCAUGUCCCUGCGAGGAAGGUCCUCUAAUCCUCCACUGUGUGCAGGUGGGGGAGCCGAAGCCCAGAGAGAUUAAGACACUUGCCCACGGGGUAGAGCCGUGAUUGGAACCGAGAUGAAUCUGGCUUCAAAUCUGUGUGUGUGACCUUUGUAAUAUUUUGCCUGCUCCUCAAAGAGGAUGACUCCGGGGGUCCGUGUCCCCACGACCUGAGGCUGUUUGAAAAGACGAGAAGAAAAGGAAAGCGGCUCUCCACACCUUCAGCUUAACUGAGCUGCAGCCAGCAUGCAGCUUCCUUGGGAUGGAUGGGCGAGGAUGUGAAAAGGACACUUGACCCAGAUACGGAGUGUCUCUUCCAAUCAGCAGAUCGCAGAGAAUGCCUCUUAAUUAAGCCGUGACCUUCACCCAGUUCAGCUGCUUCCUGUCUCUGGCUUUCUUUUCCCGCUCACACGGCUCUGAGUGAAAACCUGGACCUGGGAAGCAUUAACUGUCUCCUGUCUCUCCUCGCCAUUGCUCCCGUGCAGGCUCCAGUCCCCCUGCCAGCUGCCCACCGGAAGUCACUGCUGGAUGUCCCAAAGCCCGCCAAGGCCAGGUGCCGGGAAGGAGGCACCUCCUCUCUUUUCUCCCAACCCGUUUUCUGGUGGGGCGCCACUGCCCCACAGCAGGUGGAAUACAGGGUGGACAAAGAAGCCGCCUGAGUGGGCACCUUUCCUUUCGCUCCGAGGAACCAGGAGGCAGUAGGUCCCCCAAGGCUUCCUCCCUCACCCACAGCCUAAGCUCCAGCCGAGCUCAGUGCCCUGUCCAGUUCACCUGGCGCUGGCUGCCAGCGAGGGUGCCUCCCAGGAGUGUUACCACACCCCUACCUGCCCAACACCGCGUGAGGUUGCCUGCUGCCUCUGACGUCGAGGAAGCCUGCUGUCAAGGGCUCCAUAACCCAGCCCAUCUUUAAUUCACUUCCUCUUCCUCUUAGAUCUGUCUUUUCACUCGCACUUCAUCUUACUCCGCUGCCUCUGGCUAAAAUGCCUUCCCCUUCCUCGGCAAGCUUUAAUCUACCCAGGUGCCAUGACCUGGAAAGAUAGCUUCCAUUGUCUGACAUUUUCCCAGCCUGCUCAGUUGUUGUAACUGCCUAGAGCCCUCUAGGAUGCACUCUCUGGAAUAGACACACGAUCUACCCUAAAGAAGGGUGAUUGACGAUGCAUGCCAUGGUGUAGGAGGAAGCUAUUGAUUAGUGAUGUCUGCCAUGGUUGUAGGAGGGAGGCAUUAUUGAUGAAUGAUGCCUGCCAUGGAUAAAAGAAGGGGAGACUACUGAUUCGUGAUGCCUGCCAUGGAUAGAGGAAGGAGAGUGGAAGUGGACUUUGGCUAGAGCCAAUGGAUAUCUGCCUCUCCCAUAUGGUAUCGCGAUGGUUUGUCUUGCUCAUCACGGACUACCAUAUCAAUAAACA